GAACGCUAGCUACAGGCUUAACACAUGCAAGUCGGAGGGGCAGCAUGUAAGUUUGCUUGACUAAACUUUGAUGGGCCGACCGGCGCGACGGGUGAGUAACGCGUAUCCAACCUCGGCCCGCAGGUAGGGAACACGGCCCGGACGAAAGUCGGAUUAAUGCCCUAUGUCUUCCUUUGCAGGCAUCCAAUGAGGAAGAAAGAUUUUAUCGCUGCGGGAUGGGGAUGCGUCUGAUUAGCUUGUCGGCGGGGUAACGGCCCACCGAGGCGACGAUCAGUAGGGGUUCUGAGAGGAAGGUCCCCCCACACUGGUACUGAGACACGGACCAGACUCCUGCGGGAGGCAGCAGUGAGGAAUAUUGGUCAAUGGGCGAGAGCCUGAACCAGCCAAGUAGCGUGCAGGACGAACCUGCCCUAUGGGUUGUAAACUGCUUUUAUGCGGGGAUAAACUUCAGCACGUGUGCUGUUUUGCAGGUACCGCAUGAAUAAGGACCGGCUAAUUCCGUGCCAGCCGCUGC
rnacentral:rRNA from 1 species